AUAAAACACAAAGUAUUAUAAAUGAAAAAACUAGAGGAAGGGGGUGCAACACUGUCCAGGGGUGCAUGGGAGAAAUGGUGUUGGCACAACAUCAUUUGGCUCAGCAAGAAGCCCAAUAUGUUUGUUGUUGCUUCAAGAGAGGGGGUGGGAGGCUGGCGUGGGGUGUGAAAAGAAUGUUCAUGGGAUUGUGAGCUUUUGAAGCCCAAUGUGUGGCCAAGAGUUGAGGAAAGGGAUCAUAGAGUUCCAUUUCAUGCUAUUCUUCAUGUCUCAAGUCCUUCUCAAAAAGACCUCACCGGAUCCAAACCUCAUCGCGUCGGAAAUUCCCUCUGGCGGAGGUCCAAAUGACUUCAACCCUACCUCAAUCCAUGCGUCCUUACUCCCUUUCUCUCAAUCUAACUACGAUUUCCUCUAUUUCCUACACAAGAUUCCAAAUCGAAGUAAAGUAUUCAAGAACCCUAAGAAAGAAAACUCAAGUUAAACUACAAAGAUGAGGUAAAUGGAGCCCAAACCUUGGGGGUUCGGCUCCUUAGCAGAAUAGCUACAUCACAGUGAAUACUUUUGACACGGAUCAAAGAUGAGAAGAAGGAUAGCUCACCUGCCGGAGCAACUCUGACAGUUCUUCAAGGUGUAAGUGUUGAUAAAAGACGGUCUAAGAGUCGUCUACUUCCUCAUGGAUGGCACAUGGUAAGAGGGUGGACUAGGCAUGGAACAAGGCAUGUCAUGGAUUGGUCAUGAAGAAACUUGGUGUAGCAUCAAGACUCAUCAAGCACUUGAAGGCUUUGGAGGAAUAUCUUGUGAAUGAAGAAAAGUUGAAUAGGGUCUAGAUUAGAUCAGUUGACUUUGGUCAACUAUUUGACCAAAAAGUCAACAGUUGACUUUAUCAAAAUAUAAUUUUUGUAUGCAAUUUUGUAAUUUGGAUCUUUUGUAAGGUGACUUAAAUGUUUCUGUAAUAAAAAGGCCUUUUAAAAUGAA